rnacentral:lncRNA from 1 species
CCUUCUACUGUUCCACAAAUUUCCUAAUAAGGUGGAUAAUUUCGGAGUUGAACGACCCGGCAUGAAUUCAAUCCGGUUGUUUAAUAUGGACAUCGUCCUCCUCACCUUCACUUCUAUUACCCACUCGAAAACUUUCAUGGUGUGACAAUGUAACUUGACAUCCCUAUAGUUGUUACAACGGUUGAUAUUCACUUUGUUCUUGUACAACGGUAACACCACACUCCACCUCCACAUCUGAUAUCCUUCUCGUCCUGAAACUAACAUUAAACAACCCAGCUA